rnacentral:lncRNA from 1 species
UUUUAUUUUUUUGGGAAAAAUUUUCAAACAAUCCCUUGUGGUUUCGUACUUUUUCAUUUUAAUACCCUAUGGUUUAAAGUGUAUCAAGUUAGUACCCUAUAGUUUCGCACUUUCUCACUUUAGUACCCUAUGGUUUAAUGUAUAUCAAAUGAUUUUAUUUUUGUAUCAUGUUAGUACCCUGCGGUUUUAUUUUUGUACCAAGUUAGUAUUGUGUGAUUUUUAAACCACAUGGUACUAAAAUGAAAAAGUGUAAAAUUACAGAAUACUAACUUCAUACACUUUAAACCAUAUGAUACUAAAGUGAAAAAGUGCAAAAUGAUACUAACUUGAUACAUUUUAAACCACAGGAUAUUAAAGUGAGAAAAAAUAAAAUCACAAGGGAAGUAUCUGAUGUUUUUCCUUUCUUUUUUUU